UGGGGAAUUUUGGACAAUGGGCGCAAGCCUGAUCCAGCCAUGCCGCGUGUCUGAAGAAGGCCUUCGGGUUGUAAAGGACUUUUGUCAGGGAAGAAAAGGGCGGGGUUAAUACCCCUGUCUGAUGACGGUACCUGAAGAAUAAGCACCGGCUAACUACGUGCCAGCAGCCGCGGUAAUACGUAGGGUGCGAGCGUUAAUCGGAAUUACUGGGCGUAAAGCGGGCGCAGACGGUUACUUAAGCAGGAUGUGAAAUCCCCGGGCUCAACCUGGGAACUGCGUUCUGAACUGGGUGACUAGAGUGUGUCAGAGGGAGGUAGAAUUCCACGUGUAGCAGUGAAAUGCGUAGAGAUGUGGAGGAAUACCGAUGGCGAAGGCAGCCUCCUGGGAUAACACUGACGUUCAUGCCCGAAAGCGUGGGUAGCAAACAGGAUUAGAUACCCUGGUAGUCCACGCCCUAAACGAUGUCGAUUAGCUGUUGGGCAGCAUGACUGCUUAGUAGCGAAGCUAACGCGUGAAAUCGACCGCCUGGGGAGUACGGUCGCAAGAUUA
rnacentral:rRNA from 1 species